rnacentral:rRNA from 1 species
UACGUAGGGUGCGAGCGUUGUCCGGAAUUAUUGGGCGUAAAGAGCUUGUAGGCGGUUUGUCGCGUCUGCUGUGAAAAUCCGGGGCUCAACCCCGGACUUGCAGUGGGUACGGGCAGACUAGAGUGUGGUAGGGGGGAUCUGGAAUUCCCGGUGUAGCGGUGAAAUGCGCAGAUAUCGGGAAGAACACCCGUGGCGAAGGCGGCUCUCUGGGACGGUACUGACACUGAGACGCGAAAGCGUGGGGAGCGAACAGG